GAGGAGGAGAAUCAUAAUUAUUAUUUUUUAAAUUUUUAUUUGAGUAACUGAAAGUUGUGGAGAAUGGAUGUGUUGGUGAUAAUGAGAUAAGUAGAAAAUGAAACAGAAACCACAACCUCAAACCACUGUGUCAGUAGUGAAGGGAAAAUGAGCAAUUCGUGGGUUGUUGUCUUCACGACCACCCAUCUGUGCUCCCCUUCGGUUUCCUUCUAUUCUUGUUUAAGGCCACAUGCCCCAUGUUUUUGGACCCCUCCACGCAUUCGCUGCUCAACUUCAACUUCAGAGCUUACUCCAGGUAAAAUUCCGACCAGUACCCAUUUUCCUGUAACUGGUGGUGCAUAUGAUUUCACAGAAGCAACGACAUCACUAACCAAUGAGUUAAUCCCUUCACCAAAGAAAGUGACUCUUUUAAGGCAUGGUCUUAGCACUUGGAAUGCAGAAAGUAGGAUUCAGGGAAGCUCCGAUUUGUCUAUACUAACUAAAACUGGGGAGGAGCAAGCAGAGAGGUGCAAGAAAGCUUUGGAAAAUAUAUACUUUGACCAGUGUUUUGCAAGUCCAAUAUCUCGUGCCAAGGUUAGUGGCUAGUAAAAUUCAAUUUUCAUGCAUGCCAAUGCUGAUCAAUUUUUUAUUGAAAUGGUUGGGGGUGUUUGAUGUAGCAAACUGCUGAAAUUAUAUGGCAAGGGAGGGGAAAGCCAGUGGUUUAUCUUGAUUUGCUUAAAGAGUUAUCUCUAUAUCACCUUGAAGGCAUGAGAAAUGGCAGUGGAUGCUAAGCAAAUAUAUCCCAAGGAGUAUAGAACCUGGAGAGAAGAUCCAGCCAAUUUUUUCAUGAAUGGUAGAUAUCCUGUACAAGAUCUCUGGGAAGCAGCAAGAGAUUGUUGGAAGGAAAUAUUGUUUUCACCUGGAGAAAACUUUCUGGUCGUGACCCACAAAUCUAUAUUGAGAGCAUUAACUUGCACUGCUUUAGGCUUGGGCCCAGAGAGGUUUCGUUCCCUUGAUAUAAACAAUGGAGGGAUGUGUGUAUUCAACUUCAACACCAGAGGAGAGGCAAUGCUUGAGGCAUUAAAUAUGACAGCUCACAUGUACAGUGAUCAUGUCUAUCCUGGCUAGUGUAAACUAACUCAAGGAAGAAAGCAUUGUCCUUUUUAUCACAGAUUCAAAUAUACCAUGGAACAAACAGCACUGAGGAUUUGGUGUGAGAUUUUUUGUUUUAAUUUUGUGCAAUUCCGAAUCCAUGGCAGGUGGAUUCAACCAUGAAGCAAGUUUGUCAAUGUUUUUGUAGCAUGGAGAGUGACAGCACCGAUUGAAAAAAAAAACAAGUAAAACAGCAACCCCUCUCCCUUUGAUAUAAAUAGAGAUUUGGACUAAUUUAAGAAUAGUUUGUACAAAUUAGUUGUGUAUUCCAAUGCUCAGUAUAUAUACUGAGUUUUUACUCAUUUUUCAAUAGAGU